GGAGACAAAAAAUAUACUUCUUAUCUAUAACAUUAACACGGAGGUAAUGCAGAUUUUCAGUCCAUAGCCUUUUGACAGUAACCGUAUAGAGACAGUACUACCUUCUAACCAAUCUGUCUUUUUCCUGGAGACCAAUACAUACUGUACUACGCUCCGUGUAUAGAGACUUACUUCGCGUUGUUCUUAACUGUAGGAGAUUACGAUUGACAACUGGUAAGAAGAGACUUCAUAGUCAAAAAAAACGACGUGGGGGUAAGGCUGCUCCAGUGCGUGUGUAUGGUGGCCCUUAGGGUGCCUGGGAUACAAGCUCGCGCUCGCUGCCGUUAUCGUAGACGUUCAUGAACUGGUUGUGCGAUGGGCCCACACCAUAGGUGAUAACUCCGGUUCGUUGGAUCGAGCCAGUAGGAAUUCACACGAACACAGGUGGUGGACUACUUCUUGCCCUCUUCUAACGACUGAAACACGGAUUACUACCAACGGACUUGAAGCAUCUCGUUUAACUGCUCCACAACUAACGACUUAAACCAGAAUUCUCCGUGCAGCACCCUCUAUAGGGAACACCGUCCAAGUUUCAACACUACCAUAGACCACAGAGGGUCGCUCUAAACAAGGAAGAGAAUUGUCAAUGAUAAUUCUUGUUUAAAUACAAAGGUCGUUUUUUCAACCGGCCGGGGUCGUUUUUUUUUCUUGUCAAGGUCGUUUUUUUCUAGCAGCGGCACCAGUGUCCACAGUUGUUCGUCAGAAGCCUUAGUAGUUAUUCGGUUGUCGCUCUUUAUUCAAAUUCUUAACUCAAGGAAAUUGUCCCUUUAUUCCUUCCCUUCUUUGUUUAUCCCUUGUUAGUCUACUUCGUAGUUCCUUUUACCUAACUUGUUAGUCUACUUCGUAGGUCGAGCUCCUCUUCGUACCAGACGUUCCUCUGGUUAGUAGAACUCCACCAAGAAAGUCGAUGACGUACAAGGUAAUGCCUCUUCCCAUGAAUCAGCUAGAAUCCUCGGUCUGAGACGAGAGGAACGUCCCUCUUAAAGUUGUUUACCAUGAUAAUGAGAGGGUUGUUAAGAAAAUAGUGAUGUUUUACACAUCCUUGGAAUAAAAAGGGACUCUAUGACAUUAACUCCUUGGCUCUCGGCGCUGCCUUGUAACAUAAAACGUGAUGUAGGACAUAAACGAAACACCCUUCGACCGAACUCCUGUUUAUACAGUCGAGGUAAAAGCGACACUCACUAAGAAGUAUACUGC
rnacentral:rRNA from 1 species